UGUCAUGUCUAAAACAGCCUGGAGGUUC
rnacentral:piRNA from 1 species